AUAAACAAUUCAAUGCUUUCUUGAAAGUUAGAAGCUUUCUUUAAUAUUUCAAU
rnacentral:tRNA from 1 species